rnacentral:lncRNA from 1 species
GAAGAAUUUGUAAAGAUUCAAAAUGUACUUAUACUUAUGUAACUCAAAAAAUUCUGAAAAAAUAGUACAACGUCGGGAAUUUGUAUAUUAAUCGUCUGUAAAAAAAGUAAAGUUCUGUUAGUUUUAGGAUUGUUUCUAAUCGACAAAAAGUUUUUGUUUUUCAACGGGAUUAAAGCAACUAAAAACCCACAUGAUCCCAAAGGCUUUGCUU